rnacentral:rRNA from 1 species
AUUGAACGCUGGCGGCAUGCCUUACACAUGCAAGUCGAACGCGAAAGGGGGGCAACUCCUGAGUAGAGUGGCGCACGGGUGAGUAAUGCAUCGGAACGUGUCCUGUAGCGGGGGAUAACCUAGCGAAAGCUAGGCUAAUACCGCAUACGCCCUGAGGGGGAAAGUGGGGGAUCGUAAGACCUCACACUAUAGGAGCGGCCGAUGCCGGAUUAGCUAGUUGGUGGGGUAAAAGCCCACCAAGGCGACGAUC